AAACCAAUGGCAUCUACCAUUAGUGAAACAGAGAGAAAUAAACCAACCAAACUUUCAUAUGGAUUCAAAAGUUAAACACAUCACCUAAUCACACCGAUAUAAAAAAACUUGAACUUAGUUGAAAUAUUGAGUCACAAUUCAUACAUAAAAAAAGUGACUCCAGCAGAUUUGGGAAGAGAAGGAACCUAAUCGGCGGGAAAUGGAAAUAAAACAAUCAAAUGGAGGCAAAGACAAAUACCGUUGGAGCUAAUCCAAAGCAAUUCAGCUGCAACAAACAACAUUUAUGCCAAGUUCAUACUUGGAAACCCAUGAACAUAAAAGAGAAAAGGCUUUAACGGGGUUUUAUGGGGUGCUGACCACUUUGCAUUUACUCUCACAAAAAAUUGGUUCCGUUUCAUCAAACCCCAUUUUUAAAUUCCGCUACUGACUUUUGCUUGGGAGGUGAAUAUGAGCAGCUCAUUAGUGGAAGGGAAAUGAUUUUUAGCAACCUGGUGGAGAAAAUCUCGCACAAAUUGAAGCUAAAUACAAUUGCAAUUUUGAGCCGAACUUGCUUUCAUUUGUUUUGCUUUUUGCCAGCGAAAGGGAUUCGAUUUUCCUUAGUGUUUUUGAUCUGAUGCUCUCGUCCUCCUUUUGCUGAGUGAAGUGAGUACCCCUUUUGGAGGAGAACCGUCCUAUUUUGGGGUAAGGUCUCUGUUAAAGAAAGGAGAGGAGCACCGCUGGUGUCUUCAAAGAGAAAGGGAGAUCUCUAAAUCUGAUUAAGUCUAGGUCUAGAGAUGAGACAAAAAAUGUGAUUUUAUUAUGUGAAUGUUAUAGGUCAAAUUGGUUGUGAGCUUGGAUUGGGUUGAACGAAUAAAAAUGGGCUGGUUUUGGAUUUAAAAAUGGUUCAAUUGCUUAAUUGAAAACCUCAUUGCAAUUAAAUUCUUAUUCUGUUUUCUUUUCUUUUCCUUUAAUUAAAAAUUCUAGAAAUUAAAAUUCUAGAUUAUCCAAAAGUGUAGAAUUAAAUUAGCUAAUUAUAAAUUUUUUAAUAAAUACUUAAUUCUAAAUUAAAGAGAAAAAUCAAUAAGUUAAAUAUUUUUAAAAAAUGUGAAGAUGAGCUAUUUUUUUAGGAUUUUCAAAUUUUAUAAAACAAGUAAUUACUGAUUAAUUCUACAAGUGUAAAAACAAAUCCUAAAUACAAUGUAUGAUAUUUUGAUUUUUUAUGAUUUAAAUAAAACUUAUAUAUGCAAAAAAUGAAUACCAUUAAAUAAAAUUCUACAUAAACUCCUAAAAUUGGCAAAAAUAAAGAAAAUCUAUUUUCUUGGGAUUUUGUAGGAGUAAUUCAUAUAGCGCAAAAAUCACGUGCUUAUAGAGGCCCAUCUUUGUUCGGAAACAUGAAGAGUUUUCGUACAAAGAUAAAGUAAGCAACAUGAGAGAUUUUUGCCCAUUUGAAACUCCAUGAGAAGCAUUUUUGGAAAGAGUUUGACCGAACCUUGCUUCAGAGGUUUCCUAUAUAUCCUUGGCUAUAAAAGAAUCAGGUCAGUGUAGUUCUGAAAGUUUUGGUAGCUGGGACUACCGGGUAGUUGUGAGUUCACUGUUGUUGUUGUUGUUGUUGUUGCAGUUACUGCUUGCUGAGCUCCUUAUUACACCAAAAUGGAAAAUCAAGAGCUAAGCUAGCUUAGGCCUAUCAACUACGAGUUACAAUAUUCCUAUCUAUAAAUCUAUUGAAACUAGAUCUUGAGUCUUAGCUGGUUUUUGUUGUUGACUCCGAUCUGAAUCUUGAUGCUCAUUAGCUGCAUGUGCUAUUUUUUUUUUCAGGAAUUGGAUCAAAGCGGGACAUGCGAAACUUGUGAUUUUGAAUCAAAUUUGAGCAGUCCGCAUCUCUUUCUUCUUUGAGCAUUCUGAAUUCGCUUCUUUUGUUCCUUUCUUCUUUUCUAUUAUUCUGGAUUGAGACUCAUAUGAUCCGCAAUAUUUCUGUGCCUUGAGUUAAAACCUGCUCGGACACCAAAACAAACAAACGAACAAAAUUUUCUACCCCAAUUUUCAUUGAAAAAUUUCAUGAGUUAUUUGCAACACAAAUCUAAGCUAUUUUUUUUAUUAAAAACAAUAAAAGUCAGGAUUGUGUAUCCUUUAGAGGGAUUUUCGGUUUAUGCUGGGAAGGAGAAAGGGUACCUGCUGGGGAUAAGAUGAGGAUCCACGGGUAAUGCCAGGAUGGGAAUGAAGAGUCCCUGCUGGGGAUGAACGGAAAAAUCCUCUGGUUAUGCCGGGAUGAAAUAAAAAAAGAUUUCUGGGUUAUGCCAGGAAGAUUCACGGGUCAUACCGGGAUGAAUGAAAAAGGUUCAUGGGUUAUGCCAGGGGGUCCGCGGGUUAUACCGGGAUAGGAGGAAAAGGGGUCUACUGGGGAUAGGAAGAAAAUGAUCCUCGGGUUAUGUCGGGGAAGAAAAGAAAAGACCCUCAGGUUAUGCAUGGGAGCAAAAGAAAAGACCCUCAGGUUAUGCUGGGGAGAAAAAGGAAAGAUGAUCCUCGGGUAUGUCGGGUAGGUCCACGGGUUAUACCAGGAUAAAAGGGAAAAGGUCCUAUGCUAUCAUGAAUUUGGAUUUGUUUUUGAAUUAUCCUAGGAGAAAAUUCGUCAGACUAGAUUUUCUAUCUUAGGAGAAAGAUUUAUCAGAUUAAGAUUUUGAUCCUAGGAAGAAAGUUCAUCAGACUAGGUCUUUUGUUUUUUGGUAUCUUAGGAGAAAGAUUCAUCAGACUAAGAUUUUGACCAUAGGAGAAAGUUCAUCUGACUAGGUCUUCUAUCUUAGGAGAAAGAUUCAUCAGACUAAGAUUUUGGUCCUAGGCGAAAAUUCAUCAGACUAGGUCUUCUAUCUUAGGAGAAAGAUUCAUCAGACUAAGAUUUUGGUCCUAGGCGAAAAUUCAUCAGAAAAGUCUUUAUUUAUAUUAUUAUCUUAGAAGAAAGAUUUAGAUCCUAGGAGAAAGUUCAUCAGACUAGGUCUUCUAUCUUAGGAGAAGGAUUCAUCAGACUAAGAUUUCGAUCCUAGGAGAAUAUUUUAGAGAGUAAGUUUUCUAUCUUAGGAGAAUAAUUCAUCAGACAAAGAUUUUGAUCCUUGGAGAAAUUCAAGAGAAAGUUAAUCAGACUAGGUCACUUUUUUUAUAUAUAUCUUAGGAGAAAGAUUUAUCAGACUAAGAUUUUGAACCUAGGAAAGAGUUCAUCAGACCAGGCUCUUUUUUUUUGGUAUCUUAGGAGAAAGAUUAAUCAGACUAUGAUUUUGAUCAUAGGAGAAAAUUCAUCAGACUAGGACUUUUAAACUAGGAGGAAAAAUGUAAAAUGGCAACAAUAGCAAGACAAAUAAAGGUAAAGAUUCAAGAAACUUCCCUUUAUUGGCUCUUCUCUUCUUUUCUUUUUCUUCUCUUCUUUUGUUGUUGUUUUUUAACCACUUUCCUCGCAUUGUUUUGUUCCUGUUUCAAACAAAGAAAACUUUGUCAAUUUUAAAAGUGGUGGUCGGUUUGUGGCCUUGAGUCUCGAGCGGCUUGGCUUUUGCUCGAUCAGCCUGAGUCGGUCUUAAGAGACCGUUGUUCUGCACCAACUUUGAUUGUUUUGCACCUAGUACCAUUUGUAUUGGUGGCUCAAUCGUCCUUGUACCGAUUAGAGAUCUUGGAUCAGGUGACUUUUUCUAAUAUCUUGAAUGACUUUUUGCUUUUUGAGCAAUUUGUCUGUCAGAGAGAAUCACAAGUUAUCUUUGCUUGCUCCAAGCAGGCUGACAAGAGUCUUUUGGGGGAGCCCUUGCGUGAAUCCUCAAGGCAUGCUGACAGUAACAGCUGAGUGCACUGGCCAAAUUAACUUUGUGCAACUGAAAAUGGAAGCCCUUGCAUGAAUCCUCAAGGCACGUUGACAGUAACAACUGAGUGAGCUGGCCAAAUUUACUUUAUGUAACUGAAAAGCUGGUAGCAGAUUUUAAAAUUUUUUCUUGCUUGUUUUGACAAGGAUGGACUCAAAGAGAAUGACACAAUGAUGCAAAGAAACAAAUAUUAACAAGAAAUUCCCCCUGUCGGAAGGACAGAAGGAAGAACUUUUUUUUUUUCAAUAACUAGCCUUAUUGGCCAUGACAUGCAUUUUGGAUUUAACGGCAUGAUCUAUAAAACUAAUUCAAUCUUCCCUUUUACCAUUCUUAUGACCUUUGAAGCAGGGCUUGUUCCUUCUAGUCGUUUGCAUCAACUUCAUGCCUCACCUUCGACUAGUGGUGCCCGAGGGGUUUUCACCAGCAAGUCUCUCUCAUUUAUUCAUGUCUGCUUACUAUUGUCUUACACUGCCCGUGAGGGUUUUCAUUAAUAAGACUCUCUUAUUUUUCUUUUUUUUUCUUUCUAUUUUUCUUUUUCUUUUUCUUUUUCUUAUUCUUUUUCCUUCUCUUCUCUCUUAUUUUUUGCGAGCAACUUGACCGUGUUCUAUGUCGCGUGACAACCAUUGCUCAUUACGUGCUUUUCUUGGCAUUCUUGAAGGCGUAUCAGGAGGUCUUUAUUUGGAAGGUUUUUGGAUAGGGUUGAACAGAAGGUUCGGCAUGAAGGCUCCAAGUGGACUUAAAAUGAAGGGGUGUAGACUUACAACUUUUGGAAUCGACUCUUUCAAAAGUGAAAUAAAUUAUUUUUUGCCCCAGUUUCAGAUAUUAGGGAUUUUUGAAUUUUCUUUUUCGAAUUCUUAUUUGGUUGACCAAACCGUGAGGCUGCCUACGUAUCCUUAAAAGGAAUCAGGUCGAACGUAGUUCAAACAUCUGAUCUAAAUUAUUUUUGUCAUUCUUUCUAUUUUUUUCUUUUUUCUUCUUUUUUUCUUUUUCUUUUCUUUUUUUUUUCACAAAUUGCCCUAGCUUCUAUUUUUGGGGGGCAUGGACCUUUGCCAAUUAUUUUCUUCUCUUUUAUUCACUAAGAAUUUCUAAAAGUUGCCCAGUUUAUACUCUUAGGACAUUGACUUUCUUUCUUUUUCAUUUUUUUCAUAUUCUUUUUGACUCCUGAUUCUGAACUUGAUUCCAAAAGUGGGUGGUCAAAGAAAAUAGUACAGACUCAAAAGGGGUAGCGAAUGAUAUAAAGUGUUUGGAUAGUAGGAAAAUGGCCUCCCAACCUCGAGAACGCCAAACAUAGUAUCCUUUCUCAAUCACGUCAUUGAUGAACAUGCCUGUCUUCUUGGUGUGUCGUGGUCACAAGACACUUUUCAUCCCUUGAUGUCAAGCUAUCCAACAUACUUCAAUUGAUUAAACAUCCUCAAUCCCAAUCUUUAUAAUUGUUUGAAGGUGAAUUUUUCUCGACCCUAAUUCCCAAGUAUUUCCACUCUCUAUUCAUCCUCAAAAGUGUGUUAUUUUCCCCUUUCCAGUUAUCCAAUUCCAGAUUAAAUCGGUUUCUAAGAUCUGGCCAAAAUUUCUGCAUGCAUGUCAUGUUAUUAGUAUUAGCGCGAAAAGAACUAAGAACAGAAUGACACAGAAGGACAAACUAGAUAUUAUUGAAUAAGGAUGGAAGGGUUUGACAACUAAACAAGCAACCUAAGAUCCGAGUUACAAACCUAAAAUAACCCGGAUACUAAAAAUAGCAACAAAACGGAUAGACAUAACUCAUACACAUAGAACAGAAAUAUAGAAGGAUUUGACUCAAUAAAACAAAUAAAAUCUGGAUCACAACCCUGAAAUAACCCAAAUAACAGAAAAAACAUCAAAACAAGCUACCAAGAUUCCUUCCUAAGUGAGGAGGGAAUGACUUUUCAAUUGCUAAGCUUGACAUUUAGCCACAAAUUUGCUCUUCAUAAAUCACCAUGACCUUCUCCAAUUUCAGUCAGCAAGUUCUCGAGAGAAUUCUCAUACUCCAUGUUACCAGGCAUCAUCCCCACAAAGUAUGUGUCGUCCUGUGUAGGUAAUAGAUUCUACGUGAUAUUCUGGGUGUCACAGUCUUGAAUCACAAUCAAAUUUUCCUGGAUUAUCCUCUCUCUUUCUCUUUUCAAAUUCCGACAAGUUUCAACAUCGUUCCCCCGGGCAUCAGAAUGGUAUUCACACCUUUUAGAAGGGUCAAAGCUUCUUGCACGUGGGUCCACAUGAUUUGGAGGAUGGGUGCAAUCAUGCCAUAAUGCUUUGACUUCUGAAAUAAGCUUGCAUAUGACUCUCCAAUUAGUGUAAAAUUAUAUUUCAACUUUUGUUCCCUUCUAUACCCCUAGCUUGGAUGUGGGUUAUAAGGCACUUGAAAAUUUUGUGAAGGCUGGUGGAGAUUUUGUGAUACUCGUGCUCGCCUUCUUGGGUGAUUUGAUGGCUGGACAACAUAUUGAGGUGGAUCAACAGAGUAUGGUGGGUCCUGAAGUGGAUAGUAAUACGCAGGUAAGUCAUGGAAAACCUGAUGAGGCUGCGCAUACCUUCGACCUGUUCUCCUGGGACCUCUUCUCGACCCUGUUGUCAUCAUGAUUUCUUCAUCCUUCUCAUUUAUGUCACUAAAAUUAUCAUAUUCAACCUGGACAACCUGAGUUGCGGCUUUAAGAACUACUUGACUUAAAAUUUUGCCUAUCUUAAGACCAUUCUCUACCAUUUCUCCCAUUGUGAUUUCUUCCAAAAAGGAUUUGCCAACUACGGACAUCAUGUUUUGAAAGUAAUCCGGCUCUUGCACUUGAAGGAAGACAGUGAUUAGCUCGUGGUCAUCCAUGUGGCUUGACCCUAGUUGCUUGCUCUCUCCAUCUAAUGGCAUAUUCCUUGAAACUUUCACUUGGUUUCUUCUUAAGGUUUGAAAGAGAGUUGCGGUCUGGGGUAAUGUCAAUGUUGUAUUGGAACUGUUUGACAAAAGCAUGUGCCAUGUCAUCCCAGACGUACCAGUGAGAAGUGUCUUGAUCCAAAAACCAUUUGGAUGCUACUCCUGUGAGGCGUUCCCCAAAAUAAGCUAUCAGCAAUUCUUCAUUUCUUCCUGCACCUCUUAGCUGACUGCAAUACCUUUUCAGGCUGGCUAUGCGGUAUCCAUGUCCAUCAUACUUUUAUAAUUUGGGAGUCUUGAAACUAGACGGCAAGUGGACAUCGGGGAACAUACAUAGAUCUUUUAAGGCAACACUCUUUUGACUUGCCAACCCUUGCAUAUUUUUCAACCGUUAUUCUAAGCUUUUCACUCUUCGGUUCAUUUCUUCCUGUGCCAUCGUUCAUGUGGGCUUCUCCAUGUUUGCAGGAAGAUCAAACGAGUACGAGUGGUAUUCAGGAGAGUGGUACUACUCUUGCUGAGUAGAAAAUUGUGACCCAUGACAAGGUUCUCCUUGGCCAUUGGCCAAUGCUUGACACAUUUUGGUCAUUUGUUGUUUCAGUAUUCUGUUUUCCUCAACCACAGUAGACUCUUGUCGAACCCUCUGACCUUGAGUCUUUUGAGCACUUGUUAUAGCUUCGAUGUCAGUUAUCAUUUUUCCUUGAAUCUUGUGUUGUCUGCUUACCACAAACCGACCACCUCAAACUUNNNNNNNNNNNNNNNNNNNNNNNNNNNNNNNNNNNNNNNNNNNNNNNNNNNNNNNNNNNNNNNNNNNNNNNNACCCCGAAGAAUAAACGUAUAAGGGAGUUUAUCAAAUUAAAGUGUCAUAUUAUUAUUAUCAACAAUUUUUUUUUCUUUUCUUCACUUUUUUUUCUUUCAUUUUUCUUUCAUUUUCCUUUUCCAUGGUUAAUCGAACCUAAUGUGGGUUACCUACAUAUCAUGACGCCGCAUGAAUCAGAUCUUGCGUAGUUCGGGAAGAUUAGGAAUAGAGAAAAUAAACUAAAUUUAUGUUUUUCUGGAUUUUAUUUUUUCUGCUUUUUUCUCAAAAGAAAGAGUUUUUUAGAUUUUGAUUUUUCUUCAAUAUUUUUGCAAAGAAAGAAUUCUAAUGAAGAAGGAUUUUUUUUCUUUUUUUUUUUUGAACUUGGAGUUUUUAUUGUUUUUAUUUUUUGGAAUUUCGAAAGAAAAACUAUUAAAGAAGAAAGAAAAAAAUAUUUUUGCAUUUAUGAAUUUUUAUUCUGAUGUUAGGAAAGAAGUACUUCUAAUGAAAAAGAAAGUAUUUUUGAAUCUUGAAUUUUCUUUUCAAUUUUCGAGAGAAGAAUAAAAAUAUUUUUGAAUUUUUAGAUUUUGUUUUUUGAAAUUUAGAAAGAAAAACUUCAAAAAAAAGAAAGAAAAAUAUUAUUAAACUUAUGGAUUUUUAUUCCAAAGUUAGGAAAGAAUUACUUCUAAGAAAAAGAAAGUAUUUUUGAAUUUUUAGAUUUCUUUUUCAACAUUUUGAAAGACAAACUUCUAAAGAAGAAAGAAAAAUAUUAUUUUGGAUUUCUUUUAUGAAUUUUUUAAAGAAAUACUUCUAAAUAAGAGAGAAGAUAUUUUGAAUCUUGAUUCUUCCUUUGAAUUUUCGAAAGAAGAAUGAAAAUAUUUUGUAUUUUUUUAUUUUUAGAAGCAACUAAAAGAAAUAUUAUUUUUGUAUUUUUUUAAAAAAAUUGGGGUCUCAAAGAAAAAUUUUCCUUAACAAGGAAGUAAAAGAAAUUUUUUUUUCGGAUUUUUGAAAUUGGGGUCGUAAAAAAAUUUUCUGAAGUAAAUGAAAAUAUUUUUGGAAUUUUGUUUUGGGUUUUUUAAAAAAAAAUAUGGGUUAUAAAGAAUGACCCCCUCUUUUUAUUAAAAUAAGUAAAUUAAAAUAUUUUUGAAUUUUUUAAAAAUUGAGGGCCGGAACCGAUGAGGUUUGCCUACGUAUCUCACAUCUGGUGAGAAUCAGACCCGCAUAGUUCUGCCAGAUUUGACGGAACAGGAGUUGACUUAUUUGAAAAAAUUUCGACAGUGUUUCAGAAUUUUCAAAAUACCUACCUCUCCUUUUUGUUCCUUUCCCUAUUCUAGAAGUCAUUCAACAUGCAAGCCGAACAGACGAAUAUGCAAAUAGCACGUAAGAUGCAUCAGGAUGGUCUUUUUAAUUUGGGUACACAUGUCCUAGACGAACUUAACACUUGUAUUGAGUCCCCUAAGUUAAAUGCACGUGAUGCAAACAAACGUUCCUACUAGGAAUCCGACAUGAGGUUUUGUUAUAUUAGGUUCAGAACCUGGGUAUUUGUUCUCGACCGUGUACCCGAGUGGACAACUCGAGUCGAGGAGGGGGCUACGUACCGGGGACCUGAAAGAUUGUCCGGCUUAGUAACUUGUCCGAGCCUCUUUAUUAUUUCAAGGUAUGACACUAACAGAAUAGGGAGUCUCGACCAGCGAGCACAUCCCCGAAGAUAAGAAGAGAAGAGUUUCGUAAAGGUUUAUAGAUACAAUUCAUCCAAUAUCAAAGCGGUAAAGCACUUAGCAUCUAUAGCAUGGAACAUGUAAUGAAAUCAGAUAAAGCCAAAUAUAACCGUUAUACUAAACUCGAAUUCUUGAACCUUGAACCAGAGAUUCUGGGUUCCUUCCCCAGCAGAGUCGCCAGAGCUGUCACACCUUCUAUUUGACACGGCUACCCCGAAGAAUAAACGUAUAAGGGAGUUUUUCCAAUUAAAGUGUCAUUAUUCGAAAUAGGAUUAUUUAUUUGUUUAGAGUCGCCACUUGGGAUGGGUUUGACUUUUCGAUGUCCUAAGUCACCGGUUUAUUUAGAAUCCCAAAUCAAGGAAAAUUUUCAACUGCCCAAAUGGAAUUUGCGAACCAGAAAUUCUAAGGAAGGAAUUCUGUUGACUCGAGGGAAGGUGUUAGGCACCCCCAGAUCCCGUGGUUCUAGCACGGUCGCUUAAACUAUCAUAUUUGGUCUAAUAUAUGAUUUUAUAACAUGUUCAUCCUAUAUUGCAAUUUUAAAUUAUUUACCUCUUUUAAUUGAAUUUUUAGGAAUGUGAACGUCGUUUAAAGAAUGUCUUUGGAUCGCUUCACAUGAAAUGCGCCCGGAUCUGAAACAUAUUAUAUCCAACGUUUUGAGAUUUAGAUUUAGGUCACAUGAAAUGCACACUCGAAUUUAGGAAAUUAUUUUUUUAAAAUUGCGCGCCUAGAGCAGAGCUAGGAUGUAUGAAUUCUUUUCCUAUGCUAAGAAUGUUGAGUUAUCCCACAUCGGAGGGAUUUGAGGUCCUUGGUCUCCUUAUAUGGCUUGGACANNNNNNNNNNNNNNNNNNNNNNNNNNNNNNNNNNNNNNNNNNNNNNNNNNNNNNNNNNNNNNNNNNNNNNNNNNNNNNNNNNNNNNNNNNNNNNNNNNNNNNNNNNNNNNNNNNNNNNNNNNNNNNNNNNNNNNNNNNNNNNNNNNNNNNNNNNNNNNNNNNNNNNNNNNNNNNNNNNNNNNNNNNNNNNNNNNNNNNNNNNNNNNNNNNNNNNNNNNNNNNNNNNNNNNNNNNNNNNNNNNNNNNNNNNNNNNNNNNNNNNNNNNNNNNNNNNNNNNNNNNNNNNNNNNNNNNUUAUCCCACAUCGGAGGGAUUUGAGGUCCUUGAUCUCCUUAUAUGGCUUGGACAAUCCUCACCUCAUAAGCUAGCUUUUGGGGUUGAGUUAGGUCCAUUAUCAGUACUUUUCGGGUCCAAAGUAUAUUCACCUUUUCUCUAGGAUGAAGACAUGCUAAUACAUAUUGGCUAUAUAUCAUGACUGACAUAAAAAAAAUUAGCAAAUUUAGAAUGUUAUCCUUUUCAGUUUUAAAUUGUACGUUCCUUUAAAGGAUAUGGCUAUUCAAGGGGUAAACCAAAAUAUUUUUAUUUUCUUAUUCUGAAUCAUUAAUUUCCAAAGCAGCUUUAGGUGUCUAAAUGAUACCAUCUAAUUACAAAGAUUUGAAUAAUCAAGUAGCCUAAAAUUUAAUGAUCAAAUGUUUGGACAGUAACGCGACAAGGGAAUAAAUAAUACUUAUUCAUACUAUCUAUUUUGACAUAAUUCUUGAUAAGGAGAAAUAAUGAAAUAAGAUAAAGCUCAUGUUAAACUCCAACUCGGUCUUCACCAAAUAAGCCAUAGCCUAUUUAACCUUUCAAUUUGACAGUUAACACUAACGCCCAAUAUAAAGCUAACGGAACCCCAAAUAUAGACGAGAACAACUAUUGAAUAAGACAUACACUUUGUCAAAGGCCGGUUCAAAACCAAUAGCAUCUACCAUUAAUGAAACAAGAGAAAUAAACCAACCAGACUUUCAUACGGAUUCAAAAGUUAAACACAUCACCUAAUCAUACCGAUAUAAAAAAAAACUUGAACUUAGUUGAAAUAUUGAGUCACAAUUCAUACAUAAAAAAAGUGACUCCUGCAGAUUUGGGAAGAGAAGGUACCUAAUCGGCAGGAAAUGGAAAUAAAACAAUCAAAUGGAGGCAAAGACAAACACCACUGGAGCUAAGCCAAAGAGAUCCAGCAUCAACAAACAACAUUUAAUCCAAGAUCACACUUGGAAACCCAUGAACAUAAAAGAGGAAAGGAUUUAACGAGGUUUUAUGGGGUGCUGACCACUUUGCAUUUACUCUCACAAAAAAUUGGUUCCAUUUCAUCAAACCCCAUUUUCAAAUUCCGCUACUGACUUUUGCUUGGGAGGUGAAUAUGAGCAGCUCAUUAGUGGAAGGGAAAUGAUUUUUAGCAACCUGGUGGAGAAAAUCUCGCACAAAUUGAAGCUAAAUACAAUUGCAAUUUUGAACCGAACUUGCUUUCAUUUGUUUUGCUUUUUGCCAGCGAUAGGGAUCUGAUUUUCCUUAAUGUUUUUGAUCUGAUGCUCUCGUCCUCCUUUUGCUGAGUGAUGUGAAUACCCCUUUUGGAGGAGAACCAUGAUAUUUUUGGGGUAAGGUCUCUGUUAAAGAAAGGAGAGGAGCACCGCUGGUGUCUUCAAAGAGAAAGGGAGAUCUCUAAAUCUGAUUAAGUCUGGGUCUAGAGAUGAGACAAAAAAUUUGAUUUUAUUAUGUGAAUGCUAUGGGCCAAAUUGGUUGUGAGCUUGGAUUGGG
rnacentral:lncRNA from 1 species